UGCUCACUAUACAUGUAUUAAUCAAAUAACAUCUAUCUAUAAGAACACAUAAAGGUUAUCAAUGAUAUAAGGAAGAAGUUACAGCGAGAAAUAAAAGAAAAUUUACAUACGUCAUCGUACAUCGAAACAUUACACAAGAAACGAUUGUGCGUAGAAUCUAAAGUUCAAUGUACAGUUCGUUCUAAGAAGACAACGGGAGUGUGGCGAUUUUUCUCUCAUUUUUCUGGCCAGUGCAGUGUUUCGGAAAGGAGAACGUAAUACGUCAAUUUGCACUAAACAAUUUGACGGAGAUUACGACGACAUUUAAACAGUGGUUAUUCGAGCGUUAUUACAUUAACUCGCAUCCUACUUAGGUGGAUUUUUCAACUUCGCGGGUCAUUAAACUUUUGUUGCGAUUAAUUUACUACGAGUAUUCUCCGUUCUCGGAACGAAGCAAUUGCGAAAUACAUCAUUUCAAAGGCGGAUAUUCAAUUUUAUUUGUUUAAUAAUUUCAAAAAAUGUGUUUUUAACGAACUGAAAACUUGACUACCUUUAUUUCUUUUAGCUUCAACUUUCACGUCUAUCUGUCUAUCGUACAUACUUAACAAAGAACUUGGAAAGAGAACAUUCGCAAUAAAUAAAUACUACCGAAACGCAAAACGAUACAAACAAAUUAACGCGGUGGUCGUCAACAAACUUGCCACAAUCAAGCCACUUGCAUAGCCGCGCACCAGGAUAUUAUGAUGCAAGCUGUAUAUCAACUUAAUCGGUGUUAAUAGAGUCACAUUUGCAUCGCAGUAAUCUAUACGCUCUGAACGAACGUUUAAACGUUAGAUUUUUAAGAAAAUUGAGAUUUGUGAUACUUAUCAAUUGCAAGAAAAACGUUGACCCAGAAUGCAAGAUUCCGCAAAUGUAUUUGUUACAUUCUAAAUUAACACCGGGCGAAUUUUCAUAAUUUUGGUGUUUUACAUUGAUUUGUAUAUCAUAAGUGACUUAUCUUCGUGACUACGUUAAUUAAAUACAAUGUUUGUAGACAGUGGUUUAUUUAAGAAUAUAUACGGCGAAAGAUAAAUAGACAUGAAUAUUUAAUGGCGUUCCUUUGUUUUCUGAAUAUAUAAAAACCUGGACGUGUUUAAUAUUUGUACGUAGCAAAUAUCCGCGUUUUAUGAUUGUAGUGUGCGCGUUAAUAGCUGCAGCCACGUGAUAAUUCAUAUUCGGAUCGUAAAAAUGAUAAUAACAGUGAAAGUAUUUUUCUAACGUCUAAUUACGUAUGUGAAAUGUAAAACAUAUAAUUACUUGAAUAUAUUAUCCAAAUGAUUUUUUUGCCUAUAA